GUGUCCUACGGGACGCAGCAGUGAGGAAUAUUGGUCAAUGGUCGGGAGACUGAACCAGCCAAGCCGCGUGAGGGAUGAAGGUACAGAGUAUCGUAAACCUCUUUUGUCAGGGAACAAAGGCGGGGACGUGUCCCCGGAUGAGUGUACCUGAAGAAAAAGCAUCGGCUAACUCCGUGCCAGCAGCCGCGGUAAUACGGAGGAUGCGAGCGUUAUCCGGAUUUAUUGGGUUUAAAGGGUGCGUAGGCGGGUUAUCAAGUCAGCGGUAAAAUCGUGGAGCUCAACUCCAUUCAGCCGUUGAAACUGAU
rnacentral:rRNA from 1 species